UACGUAGGGUGCAAGCGUUAAUCGGAAUACUGGGCGUAAAGCGUGCGCAGGCGGUUAUGUAAGACAGAUGUGAAAUCCCCGGGCUCAACCCUGGGAACUGCAUUUGUGACUGCAUAGCUAGAGUACGGUAGAGGGGGAUGGAAUUCCGCGUGUAGCAGUGAAAUGCGUAGAUAUGCGGAGGAACACCGAUGGCGAAGGCAAUCCCCUGGACCUGUACUGACGCUCAUGCACGAAAGCGUGGGGGAGCAAACAGGG
rnacentral:rRNA from 1 species